AUUGAACGCUGGCGGCAGGCCUAACACAUGCAAGUCGAGCGGAAACGAGUUAUCUGAACCUUCGGGGAACGAUAACGGCGUCGAGCGGCGGACGGGUGAGUAAUGCCUAGGAAAUUGCCCUGAUGUGGGGGAUAACCAUUGGAAACGAUGGCUAAUACCGCAUGAUGCCUACGGGCCAAAGAGGGGGACCUUCGGGCCUCUCGCGUCAGGAUAUGCCUAGGUGGGAUUAGCUAGUUGGUGAGGUAAGGGCUCACCAAGGCGACGAUCCCUAGCUGGU
rnacentral:rRNA from 1 species